rnacentral:rRNA from 1 species
UGGGCGUAAGCGCGCGCAGGCGGUUUCUUAAGUCUGAUGUGAAAGCCCACGGCUCUACCGUGGAGGGUCAUUGGAAACUGGGGAACUUGAGUGCCUAAGAGAAAAGCGGAAUUCCACGUGUAGCGGUGAAAUGCGUAGAGAUGUGGAGGAACACCAGUGGCGAAGGCGGCUUUUUGGUCUGUAACUGACGCUGAGGCGCGAAAGCGUGGGGAGCAAACAGGAUUAUAUACCCUGGUAGUCCCCGCCGCAAACGAUGAGUGCUAAGUGUUAGAGGGUUUCCCCC